UACAGAGGUCUCAAGCGUUUGUUCGGAUUCAUUGGGCGUAAAGGGUGCGUAGGUGGCGCCGUAAGUCAGGUGUGAAAUUUCGGAGCUUAACUCCGAAACUGCAUUUGAUACUGCGGUGCUUUGAGGACUGGGAGAGGAGACUGGAAUUCACGGUGUAGCAGUGAAAUGCGUAGAUAUCGUGAGGAAGACCAGUGGCGAAGGCGGGUCUCUGGACAGUUCCUGACACUGAGGCAACGAAGGCCAGGGGAGCAAACGGG
rnacentral:rRNA from 1 species